rnacentral:rRNA from 1 species
CCCUUAGAUGUUCUGGGCCGCACGCGUGCUACACUGGGUGGAUCAGCGGGUCAGGUUACGCGAGAGCGUUUCCUAAUCUUCAAAUCCGCUCGUGAUGGGGAUUGACGGUUGCAAUUUUCCGUCAUGAACGAGGAAUACCUUGUAAGCGCGGGUCAUCAUCCCGCGCUGAAUACGUCCCUGCCCUUUGUACACACCGCCCGUCGCUCCUACCGAUUGAGUGGUCCGGUGAGGCUUUGGGAUCUAAGCGAAAAGAGCGUUUCGCUCCUUUUGCUGGGAGAACUCAGUCGAACCUUAUCAUUUAGAGGAAGGAGAAGUCGUAACA